AUUGAACGCUGGCGGCAGGCCUAACACAUGCAAGUCGAGCGAGCGGCGGACGGGUGAGUAAUGUAUUGGGAUCUGCCUUAUGGCGGGGUAUCACUACUGGAAAGGGUAGCUAAUACCGCAUAACCUCCUAUGCACCCAUAUGGGAUUAUCUAGUAGGUGAGGUACCGGCUCACCUCGGCGACGAGCCCGAGCUGGUCUGAGAGGCUGCGCAGCCAUACGGGGACUGAGACACGGGCCAGAAUCCUACGGGAGGCAGCAGUGGGGAAUAUUGCACAAUGGGCGCAAGCCUGAUGCAGCCAUGCCGCGUGUAUGAAGAAGGCCUUCGGGUUGUAAAGUACUUUCAGGCGGGAGGCGUUACCGACAGAAGAAGCACCGGCUAACUCCGUGCCAGCAGCCGCGGUAAUAC
rnacentral:rRNA from 1 species